UACGGAGGGUGCAAGCGUUAAUCGGAAUUACUGGGCGUAAAGCGCACGUAGGUGGUUUUGUAAGUCGGAUGUGAAAGCCCUGGGCUCAACCUGGGAAUUGCAUUCGAUACUGCUUAACUAGAGUAUGGUAGAGGGAAGUGGAAUUUCCGGUGUAGCGGUGAAAUGCGUAGAUAUCGGAAGGAACACCAGUGGCGAAGGCGACUUCCUGGGCCAAUACUGACACUGAGGUGCGAAAGCGUGGGUAGCAAACAGG
rnacentral:rRNA from 1 species